CAGACAGACAGACAGACACAGACAGACAGACAGAAAGAGAGAAACACAGACAGACAGACAGAGAAAGAGACAGAGAGACAGACAGAGAAAGAGAGACAGACAGAGAAAGAGAGACAGACAGACACUUCUACACUUCUUCAGUUAUCACCCCACCACGCCACCACCGACCCCUCGAGUCUACGCAGCCCAGUGUCCGUCUGUGUCUUGUCGUGGGUGUGACGUUCAGCAGCGGCAGGAACAGCAACGGGAAACUUGAUCUACGUGAUGGAGGGUUUUCGUGCCGCGGGGUUACGUGCCGCUAAUGUGAGGUUAGCACAGCACAGCACAGCGGAGGAGAGGCGUUGACGAUCCAAAGGCCUAACUACACAGCGGUAAUGAGCCUCGUCUACCUUGCACUUCACGGACAACGCUCACACCUCUGCCUCCGCCACCGCCGCAAGAUUGGGGAAGGACUCGCUGCCUUGCAUCGCGCACACGGUCUACUCUUAACGACCGCCACCGCCGCUGCCGCCGUUGAGGGAGACUGGCUGGAUGGUUAUCACCCCACCACGCCACCACCGACCCCUCGAGUCUACGCAGCCCAGUGUCCGUCUGUGUCUUGUCGUGGGUGUGACGUUCAGCAGCGGCAGGAACAGCAACGGGAAACUUGAUCUACGUGAUGGAGGGUUUUCGUGCCGCGGGGUUACGUGCCGCUAAUGUGAGGUUAGCACAGCACAGCACAGCGGAGGAGAGUUUAGGAUCAGGCAGUGAGCCUGAGUGAGGGUGAGGAAGAUGCUAAAUCCUCAGUACUAAUUGAUACAGCCUUAGGAAGUGUGCGUGCCUGCAGCCUACCUGUUGAUCGUACUUUACACGUGUUGAGUCCCCAAAUUGUGACAAUGCCACGUGUAAGUGGUAAAAGAAAGACUCAGGUUGAAACAGCCCGCCAGAAAGCCUUGAAAAGGUGGAAAGAGAAGAAAGUGAGGAGCCUGAGACACGUGGUGGUAGUACUGGCGAGGCUUCCACCUCCGCCGCCACCACCCCUGCCACUCCCGACCCUCACGUGUCUGCUGCAAGCUACAGGCAUAGUCUCCUGCCACCAGAGGAGAGUGAAGUUCACCAAACUAGUGGGGAAGGACUCGCUGCCUUGCAUCGCGCACACGGUCUACUCUUAACGACCGCCACCGCCGCUGCCGCCG